rnacentral:rRNA from 1 species
AUACGAAGGGGGCUAGCGUUGUUCGGAAUUACUGGGCGUAAAGCGCGCGUAGGCGGAUUGAUCAGUCAGGGGUGAAAUCCCGGAGCUUAACUCCGGAACUGCCUUUGAUACUGUCAAUCUUGAGUUCGAGAGAGGUGAGUGGAAUUCCUAGUGUAGAGGUGAAAUUCGUAGAUAUUAGGAAGAACACCAGUGGCGAAGGCGGCUCACUGGCUCGAUACUGACGCUGAGGUGCGAAAGCGUGGGGAGCAAACAGGAUUAGAAACCCUAGUAGUCC